AAUUCGCCCUUAGAGUUUGAUCCUGGCUCAGAUUGAACGCUGGCGGCAUGCCUUACACAUGCAAGUCGAACGGUAACGCGGGGCAACCUGGCGACGAGUGGCGAACGGGUGAGUAAUAUAUCGGAACGUGCCCAGUCGUGGGGGAUAACUGCUCGAAAGAGCAGCUAAUACCGCAUACGACCUGAGGGUGAAAGCGGGGGAUCUUCGGACCUCGCGCGAUUGGAGCGGCCGAUAUCAGAUUAGGUAGUUGGUGGGGUAAAGGCCUACCAAGCCGACGAUCUGUAGCUGGUCUGAGAGGACGACCAGCCACACUGGGACUGAGACACGGCCCAGACUCCUACGGGAGGCAGCAGUGGGGAAUUUUGGACAAUGGGGGCAACCCUGAUCCAGCCAUGCCGCGUGCGGGAAGAAGGCCUUCGGGUUG
rnacentral:rRNA from 1 species